rnacentral:misc_RNA from 1 species
GAAAUGCGAUAAGUAAUGUGAAUUGCAGAAUUCAGUGAAUCAUCGAAUCUUUGAACGCACCUUGCGCUCCUUGGUAUUCCUUGGAGCAUGCCUGUUUGAGUAUUAUGAAAUCUUCAAAGUAAAUCUUUUGUUAACUCAAUUGGUUUCUACUUUGGUAUUGGAGGUCUUUGCAGCUUCACACCUGCUCCUCUUUGUUCAUUAGCUGGAUCUCAGUGUUAUGCUUGGUUCCACUCGGCGUGAUAAGUUAUCUAUCGCUGAGGACACUGUAAAAGGUGGCCAAGGUAAAUGCAGAUGAACCGCUUCUAAUAGUCCAUUGACUUGGACAAUACUUUUAUGAUCUGAUCUCAAAUCAGGUAGGACUACCCGCUGAACUUAAG